UCGCGUGGUGUCCGGUGCGCC
rnacentral:siRNA from 1 species